rnacentral:rRNA from 1 species
AAGAAAGAUGGAGGGAUGCCUCACACAUGCAAGUCUAACGAGACCUUCGGGUCUAGUGGCGCACGGGUGCGUAACGCGUGGGAACCUGCCCUUAGGUUCGGAAUAACUCCCCGAAAGGGGUGCUAAUACCUGAUAAUGUCUUCGGACCAAAGAUUUAUCGCCUUUGGAUGGGCCCGCGUUGGAUUAGCUAGUUGGUAGGGUAAAAGCCUACCAAGGCGACGAUCCAUAGCUGGUCUGAGAGGAUGAUCAGCCACACUGGGACUGAGACACGGCCCAGACUCCUACGGGAGGCAGCAGUGGGGAAUAUUGGACAAUGGGCGAAAGCCUGAUCCAGCAAUGCCGCGUGAGUGAUGAAGGCCUUAGGGUUGUAAAGCUCUUUUACCCGGGAUGAUAAUGACAGUACCGGGAGAAUAAGCUCCGGCUAACUCCGUG